rfam:Candidatus Levybacteria bacterium RIFCSPHIGHO2_01_FTLL_37_33 rifcsphigho2_01_scaffold_5436, whole genome shotgun sequence.
UGCAUCAGAACAAUAACAGGCAAUAGGAAGUCAGCUGAUUCCAUAGUACUUUAAUAUGUUAAUAUUAAAGGAAGGGA